UACGUAGGGUGCAAGCGUUAUCCGGAAUUAUUGGGCGUAAAGAGCUCGUAGGCGGUUUGUCGCGUCUGCUGUGAAAACUGGAGGCUCAACCUCCAGCCUGCAGUGGGUACGGGCAGACUAGAGUGCGGUAGGGGAGAUUGGAAUUCCUGGUGUAGCGGUGGAAUGCGCAGAUAUCAGGAGGAACACCGAUGGCGAAGGCAGAUCUCUGGGCCGUAACUGACGCUGAGGAGCGAAAGCAUGGGGAG
rnacentral:rRNA from 1 species